UUUUAAAAAGUGAUAUAUUUAGCAGAGAACAUAACAGAAGGGGAAUUUUCUACUCCUCAUCAUAAACAUUCAGGCUUUGCUGGAUAUCCCAGGGAAAGUGGCAGGCGGUGCUUUGGGAGAGAGUUUCCCAUCCAGGCUCCUUCCAAGACAGGGAUACCUGGAUAUUUGCCACGCUCUCCAGGCACCCCCAAGCAUCUCUUUUCCCCCUGCAGGCUGCUCUCUUCCCUGAUCUGAGGUCUCAGAGGACAAGAAGCAGCUCUUGGCUUGGUCACUUGGCCAAUGUUUUCUUUCCUGGACACCAGAAAGCUUCAAAUAGGAAUUCCAAGCAACCCUAAAAGCAAGCAAAGUCAACACACUUAUCCAUGGCGGGAGGAAAUUAUUCAUUUUUUUUGCACCGAGGGUUACAGUGAGAAAGGUUACUUACAUAAGUACACAAGCGGGGAUAAUUUAGGAUAUAUUUCUUCAGGGCUAAACAAGAGGAAUGUGCUACGACAGGGAAAUGGUUAAUACAUUCUGGCACAUAAAAUCCCAUACGGUCAAAUUUUAAGCGGUCAUUAAAACUAUGCCUUUGACUAGUACUUAGUGACCUAGAAAAAUAUGUUUAAGGCUAGGUAACAAAAUGAGAAUGCUAAGCUCUUUCUACCCCGAGAGCCCUAUUUUAUUAUGCGCCUCCUUUGUACCCUCAACUCCCAUUUUUGGAUGGGAAAUUUUUCUGCACAGAAAAACACGACAGGCAUGUCAAGCAUGCUAACGUUAGCACUGCUUUUUCUCUGGGAAUUUGUAUUUUCUUGGACAGAACACUGGCUCUGUUUUGUUUUCUUUUAGGAAGAGUAAACACGGUUUCCCCGUGUAGAUGGUACAGCUGGAGGGAGGUGAGGGCGGCGCACCAGCGCUCGGUGGGCCCGCACCCCUCGGCCCAGGCUGCCGUCCUGCCGCCCAGCCCCGUGCCCUGCCCCCUGCGCACCGCGGCCCCGGCCUCCCCGCGGGCUCCCGGGGUGGGGCUCCCGGGUGGGGGGCCAGCGCCUGCACACUCUGCACCCCGGCUGCAGAAGCAGCGCCCUGCCCCCCCCCCCCCCCCCCCCCCCCCCCGGGGCCCAGAGCCGCCCUCCUCCGUGCACCCGCUGAGCCGGAGCCCCAAGUGUUCGGGCCUGGCCCUCCCCUGCGGGCCCCGCCUCCGCCGCCCACAGCGCCCCCUCAGGGCCCCUCCCCGCGGAGCUCCCCCUCACCUUGCCCCCCCGGCACCCCUCCCAGGCCCUCCCGCCAGCCCCCCAGGCGGCCCGCUCCCGAUCCUCGGGACCGCCCCCCCGCCCCCAGGAUGCCCCCGCCCCGGAGGAAGGGGCGAGGUGGGCCCGGGCCGGUGUGGGAGCCGCGCACUAGCCGGGCCCGCAGCGGGCGGGGGUGCGGGGGGCGGGGGGGGCGGGGGCGCUGCGAGUGCGCGGCUCUUCGAAGGUCGUCGGUAACGCUCUCGGCUGAGCUGGGCGCUGGCGUUGACCUCUUAACAAAGAACAGGAGUCGUGUCCCAUUAUUGUUUGUGUCCUCAGAGUUUACCGUAGUGCUUGGCACCUAG
rnacentral:lncRNA from 1 species